rnacentral:rRNA from 1 species
AUGAACGCUGGCGGCGUGCCUAAUACAUGCAAGUCGAGCGAACAGACGAGGAGCUUGCUCCUCUGACGUUAGCGGCGGACGGGUGAGUAACACGUGGAAACCCAACUUAUAAGACUGGGAUAAUUCCGGGAACCGGAAGUUAUUACCGGUAAACAUUUUAAACGCAAUGUUUAAACAGUAAAGGCGGGUCUUGUGUUCACUUAUAAUUGGAUCCGCGCCGCAUUAGCUAGUUGGUAAGGUAACGGCUUACCAAGGCAACGAUGCGUAGCCGACCUGAGAGGGUGAUCGGCCACACUGGAACUGAGACACGGUCCAGACUCCUACGGGAGGCAGCAGUAGGGAAUCUUCCGCAAUGGGCGAAAGCCUGACGGAGCAACGCCGCGUGAGUGAAGAAGGUCUUCGGAUCGUAAAACUCUGUUAUUAGGGAAGAACAAAUGUGUAAGUAACUAUGCACGUCUUGACGGUACCUAAUCAGAAAGCCACGGCUAACUACGUG